AAGUACAUGCUUAAUUUGGAUCAUAAAUCCAACAUUGUCUGAUCUGGGAAGGUUAGCAGGCUUGAUUAGUACUUGGAUGGGAGAUCGCCUGGGAAUACCAGGUGCUGUAGGUU
rnacentral:rRNA from 1 species